UUCAAGGGGGAAAUAAUACCGAGCGGAAACUUAUCAAAACUGGGCCUAUAGUUUCAUUCAUAGGCACCUGUACAGCUUGUGGUGUAAAUGUCGUGUAUCAUUAUUCAAAAACUCUAUAGAUUUGAUCAAGUUUGAUGAAUUCUAGUUUUUGAUUGGACAAAAGAUUACUUUGUGUGAUAAGAAAACUUAUUUCAUAGUUCUAGAUGUUUGCUUGAGUAACGUUGAAAAAGUCAGUCAAUUAAAGACUCCACACACUUUUGGAUGAGGAACUACACGCUAAGAACAUUAUCUUUGCAAAUAUUCAUCAAGAUUUUGGAAGCAAUUUUACCAGAAUUCUACCACUGUUGCAUAAAUGCAAAACAUUUCCUUAGGGGCCAUUGUAUCUUUCUUUACACAUUACAGGUAACAAGAAUAAAUGCAAAAGUCUUGGCGUGCACGCUGAAUGGUUCAGUGUCAUCAUAUCAAUGUCAUCUUCAAGGUCUCGUCUCGUUUUUAAUGCUCAAGAUCAUUAUGUCGAGCUUAUACUGUUAAAGGUCAUUGUGUCAAUUUUUGUUAUUGUUAAAGGUACAGUCUUGUUGGCCUCUAAUAAAAUAAGUUCUGUAUUGCAGAGCGUACGUCAUUAAGUCUAACGUAGACAUUAGGUACACAGGAUGGAACUUUUUUUUUUUUGGUUGAUGUAUUGUUCUACAAUAUGUCAUCUUUAUUAUUUAACUUUGUUUUUUUAUGUUUUUUUUUAAUUAUAAGAAUACGUCAUGAUCCUUAACGUUGACAUAGAAAUAUAUGUUAAAGUGACUUUGUGAAUGAACUACAAUAUAUUU